AGCUUCUGCUAGUGUUUAGGUACUAGUGCAGUGUAGAACCCUUUUCUCAGGCAAAACCUAACAUCUGACCGCACCCUUUUUGCUAUUAAAAAAAAAAAAAAAAAAAAAAGCUUCUAUUUUUUUCCUCCUGUCGUUAAGAUAAAUUCUCCAGUAGACAACCUCUCCCACUAAUUGUGUAUUAGCAACGUAUUUUAUCUUGAGAGCUUGUACACUGGGCUCUCAACGUGGUGUGGAAGGUAGCCUGUUACAGUGCUGGAUUCAUAAAAGGGCCUUUAUGGUUUGUGAAAGAAUAUCUGUGUGCUUAGGGAGGAAACUUUUUGAUCUGCAGAAAAGCCAGAAGACAUCUAGGACAUCCAUAAAAAUUCAUCAGAGAGCAUUUUACUACUGAGCUGCAAAGGGAAAAACUUAAAAUGGAUAUGAAAAGUGAAGAAAGUGAUCAUAGGAGAAAACCAUUUCAGAUGACAAGAGCACCUCAAAGGCAGCAGCCUCAAGGAGCAGCCAUGGCCCCAGACUUGUCGCACGGAUGCAGAAAACUUAAUGGAGGAGGCUGAGGCUGGAGUGCAAUGAUGCAAUCUCAGCUCACU
rnacentral:lncRNA from 1 species